rnacentral:rRNA from 1 species
CACGAACCGUACGAACGUUAUUCGGAAUUACUGGGCUUAAAGGGUUUGUAGGCGGCCUUGUAGGUCAGGUGUGAAAGCCCUCGGCUCAACCGAGGAACAGCGCUUGAUACUGCAAGGCUUGAGGGAGACAGGGGUAAGCGGAACUGAUGGUGGAGCGGUGAAAUGCGUUGAUAUCAUCAGGAACACCGGUGGCGAAAGCGGCUUACUGGGUCUCUUCUGACGCUGAGGAACGAAAGCUAGGGUAGCGAACGGG